AAUGGGUGAGUAGCGCGUAAGUAACCUGCCCCUAAGUAAGGGAUAACUUCGAGAAAUUGGAGCUAAUACUGUAUGUGGUGAUGGGGGUAAGGCUUCAUCACUAAAGCCUUCGGGUGCUUGGGGAGGGGCUUGCGUCCGAUUAGCUAGUUGGUAAGGUAACGGCCUACCAAGGCGAUGAUCGGUAGCUGGUCUGAGAGGACGAUCAGCCACACUGGGACUGAGACACGGCCCAGACUCCUACGGGAGGCAGCAGCAAGGAAUAUUGUGCAAUGGGCGAAAGCCUGACACAGCGACGCCGCGUGAGGGAAGAAGGCCUUCGGGUUGUAAACCUCUUUUCUCAGGGAAGAAAAAUGACGGUACCUGAGGAAUAAGUCUCGGCUAACUACGUGCCAGCAGCCGCGGUAAUACGUAGGAGGCAAGCGUUAUCCGGAUUUAUUGGGCGUGAAGAGGGUGUAGGCGGCUCUUCAAGUUGGAUGUAAAAUCUCCCGGCUCAACCGGGAGGGAACAUACAAUACUGCUGGGCUAGAGUGCAGCAGGGGGAGGUGGAAUUCCCGGUGGAGUGGUGAAAUGCGUAGAUAUCGGGAGGAACACCAGUGGCGAAGGCGGCCUCCUGGGCUGUUACUGACGCUGAGACCCGAAAGCGUGGGGAGCGAACAGAAUUAGAUACUCUGGUAGUCCACGCCGUAAACGAUGGACACUAGGUAUGGGGGAGUAUCGACCCUUUCCGUGCCGAAGCUAACG
rnacentral:rRNA from 1 species